AGCACCUCUACCCUACCCACUUGGGCCGGGCCUGAUUGGAAAUCUUCAAAAUACAUCUUGGUCACGAUAAACAAACAUGAAGGAUCUUGCGUCUGUUUUCCGAGAACCAGGGUUGCCUCUUUUAGUGUUUCCACUAGAUUUCUUACACCUUCUUACGAAAAGGCAUUUGUAGGUGUUUUACUUUCUAUAUCUUACGAGCUAUCAGGCAUUGACGUGCUUAUUAGUCUUGUACAAACCCUUGACGCCAUAUCUUAGUAAGCUGGCAUAGUGGCAUGUGUCGAACUUGCUGAUAUACUCUAUAUUUACCGCUUUAUCAC